UUUUAAAAACUCUUUUAUCCUUGUACGCUUGUAAUUGGCCGAGCUGGAUCUUCGGUGCGUUAGUACUUGUAUGAUGAAUGCACCAUUUUUGUACACCCCACACUCGAAAAUAAAUAAACGGUCGGAGCGACACGGGGCGCAGAGGGCGGCACCCCCACAGCGGCACGCACUCACACGAGCGCGACGCAGGGCGACUGCGGGGGCGCUACCGUCGCCCAGUCUCGCGCCGGCCACCGCUACGGUCGGACGUCUGUCGCUCUGUGUGAUGCGAUCGGAAAAAUAAACUAGUUUUGUUCCGGUACGACAUACCGCCUCCUGUGCGCUGUUAAAUUUUACGUGUUUGUGGACAUUCUGUGAUCGUGAUUUUUUAUCUAACGUGAACGAUAAACUGUUGGGAUUGAUUGGGAGCCGUUGACUUGUGUUGAAACAAAGGUUUACAUUGUCGGAAGGUGAACGAUCUUCAUUCGACUCGCUACAGGUAAUAUCCUGCUUCGAACAAUACAAUAUUAUCAUCGAAUAAGGUAAAUGGUCUAUCAAUGUGUAAUGUCUAAUACUUCCGUGUUCUCAAGGAUCUCAACCGCAUCCGUCGUAUUAUGUGACGUCCGGUGACUAAAAUGUUAGAAAAAAAUAUUAAAAACCUGUUUUGUUUAGAGUCAGUUUUGUGGUUCGAUAAUCUAUUAAGUUAAAGUAUAAUGGCAUACUAGAGAAACCUGUUAUAUGUUGGUUGUAAAUUAAAUCAUUCAAUCACCUGUGUAAGGUGGUGAUGGAAUCUUUAUGACGCGUAUGACAAGCGUUUGUUGGAUCUACGAAUGCUUGUACUGAGUUAA